AGUUUUCUCUCUUUUUCUCUUCUUGAAAUCGCAGAGUUGUUUCGCAGCGCUCUCUCUCUCUCUCUCUGUUAUCUUUUUCUAUUUGCAUGGCAUCUCAAGCCAGUUUCCUCCUUCAAAAGCAGCUCAAAGAUCUUUGUUAGCAUCCUGUUGAUGGGUUCUCAGCUGGAUUGGUUGAUGAGAACAAUAUCUUUGAAUGGAGUGUGACAAUUAUUGGACCUCCUGAUACUCUUUAUGAGGGGGGUUUUUCAAUGAUAUCUUGAGUUUUCCACAUAAUUAUCCAAACAGCCCUCCAAAAGUGAAAUUUACACCAGAGAUUUGGCAUCCUAAUGUUUAUCCUGAUGGGCGUGUUUGCAUAUCAAUUCUUCAUCCUCCUGGUGAUGAUCCAAUUGGCUAUGAGCUUGCAAGUGAGCGCUGGAUGCCAGUCCAUACGGGACA